rnacentral:ribozyme from 14 species
GAACUAAAUAUAAAAAAUGAAGAAAGAAAUGAAAUGAAAUGAGAAGAAGUGUGUGCAUGUGUCUGUCUACCUUUCUAU